rnacentral:rRNA from 1 species
UACGAAGGGGGCUAGCGUUGUUCGGAUUUACUGGGCGUAAAGCGCACGUAGGCGGAUCGUUAAGUCGGGGGUGAAAUCCUGGAGCUCAACUCCAGAACUGCCUUCGAUACUGGCGAUCGUUGAGUCCGGAAGAGGUGGAGUGGAACUCCUAGUGUAGAGGUGGAAUGCGCAGAUAUCAGGAGGAACACCGAUGGCGAAGGCAGGGUCACUGGGCCGCAACUGACGCUGAGGAGCGAAAGCAUGGGGAGCGAACAGG